GCAUGGGUGCCAGCAGCCCCGGCGGUUGGGGGUCGCGGACAGGCCCCGAGGGAGGUCCCCUCCUGCACCGCGCCCAGGGGCCCCGGCUGUCUAGGCUGUACACGCAGGCCGCCCCAUGUCGCAGACGUGUGACAGCCGGGGCUGCAAGCAGCUGACGACGCUGCGCCCCGCGCCUCUGACAAAACCGGGCAGCGGGUCACCGCGGAGCACGAACCAGUCCCGAUGAUGGCCGCGCACCAGGAAUCCCGCCAACCGCCCCGACCGCCUCCGACCACAUCGGCCCGUACUGCACGCUAGAAAUGGGCACUGUCCCUGGACACACACAGGACCAGAGACCCAGGGAGCUGCAUCACAGUGCACGCCUGGAGCUUCCGGAGGCAGCAAGUGAUGUCACCUCCACCUUCCAGCCACAUCUGGAGGCGCUCCACACACCAGGCACCUCACUGCCAGCAGGUUCCUCUCUCCUGGGACACCCCACGGACACCUGCCACACCGGGCCCCGUGGGACACCCACGGACACCUGCCACAUCAGGCCCCCCGGGACACCCAUGGACACGUCACACCGUCACCCCUUGGACACCCAUAGACACCUGCCACACCGGCCCCCCCAGGACACCCCAUGGACACCUGCACACCGGGCUCCCUGGGACACCCCAUGGACACCCCACAGACACUUGCCAUGCCAGGCCCCCCCGGGACACCCCACGGACACUUGCCAUGCCAGGCUCCCUGGGACACCCCAUGGUCACCUGCCGCCCCGGUCCCCCUGGGACACCCCACGGACACCUGCCAUUGCACAUUUGUAUCCAGGAACGCUCAAUUCUUAAGGACGUUUCCACCCUGAUGGCAAGAUGGGCCCACUGACAAGUCAGGAGACCCCGGAGCUCCGCGCACACGCUCACGAGAGCUUUAAACGGCCGCUCGCUACCGAAGGAGAAGGGAGGCUCCGACAGGGUGGAAACCCCGGCCGCUAGCACCUGUGCCGGCAGCAGGUCCACGCGGCACCAGGGCGGCCCGACGCCCCUGUCCAGGUUUCCCGCACCACAGCCGAGUGGCCAGGUCCCAGGGGCCCGACCCUGCCCGGGAGGCGGUGGCUGCAAGACCCAGCAUGGCCCACACCUGGGCAGGCAUGUCCUCACUCAGCAGGGCAUGGGGGAGCGGCUGGC